GGCUGGAUAGCUUAAUGGUAAAAGCGCUCGGAAACACCGAGAGAUAAGGUUCGAUUCCUUCACUGGCAUCGCGCCGA
rnacentral:tRNA from 2 species